CGCCGGGGGGCGGAGCGGGGCGGCAGCGCCGGGCUGUGCCGAGCUGCAGGGCACGGGACCCCACCGCUGGCACUGUGGCUGCAGGAGAACAACACAUCUCCCCACCAAGGAGCAGCUCCCUUCCCUUCAGGUGCCUGCAGUGGGGGAGAGGGGCUCAGUACCGCCUUCCUGUGCCCUGUGGGUCCUAUCCUGCCGCCACCCCACCCCAGUUAUGGAGGAAGAGGCCUCAUGGCUGCUCCUGUGCUCUCUGUGCUGUGGGACAGGGACGAGGUGCACAUCUCCAUGUGUCCCAGCUCUCUCUGCCCGUGUCUCCCCAGCUGAGCUCUGCAGGCUGUACCGGACACAUCUCCGAGGUCUCGCUCCCACCAGCACACGGUGAGCACCCCGGGGUGCUGGUCCUGCCCCAUCCGGGUCCCCGCACUCCUGCAGUGAUGAUGACACACACACAUUGGUGGUGAGCCCGGGGGGUUGGCACCAACCUUUGUUUCUCCCCAAUGAGCCCAGCAAUGGGGCUUUCCCUCUCCCCAGUGGGAGUGCAUUUUGGGCACCAUUUGGACACGCUUCAUUAUUUCCAGGCGAAGGAUGUCUCAUGCCCUCCC
ensembl:lncRNA